rnacentral:rRNA from 1 species
GAUGAACGCUGGCGGCGUGCCUAAUACAUGCAAGUCGAGCGAACGGACGAGAAGCUUGCUUUUCUGAUGUUAGCGGCGGACGGGUGAGUAACACGUGGAUAACCUACCUAUAAGACUGGGAUAACUUCGGGAAACCGGAGCUAAUACCGGAUAAUAUUUUGAACCGCAUGGUUCAAAAGUGAAAGACGGUCUUGCUGUCACUUAUAGAUGGAUCCGCGCUGCAUUAGCUAGUUGGUAAGGUAACGGCUUACCAAGGCAACGAUGCAUAGCCGACCUGAGAGGGUGAUCGGCCACACUGGAACUGAGACACGGUCCAGACUCCUACGGGAGGCAGCAGUAGGGAAUCUUCCGCAAGGGGCGAAAGCCUGACGGAGCAACGCCGCGUGAGUGAUGAAGGUCUUCGGAUCGGAAAACUCUGUUAUUAGGGAAGAACAUAUGUGUAAGUAACUGUGCACAUCUUGACGGUACCUAAUCAGAAAGCCACGGCUAACUACG